UUUAGUGCACCCUCACGGUGCCUCCACAACGAUUUUAGGUUGUGGACGCCCGUCAGAUCAGGUUCAUUUGGUGCAUCUCGGCCGUCCGUUUUUUCACCGCAUCGUAUAAAAGAGCUAGCGCGGUGAAAACCUUAGCCGCAAUCACGUCCCUUCCUUUCUCCUCUUAUUCGCUUGCUCCUCCUAUAACUGGAGAUUGAGCAAGACAAGUAUCAAGAUUCUAUUCUAUCUCCAUUUUAUGAUCUUCUCUAUCCAUCUUCUGGUCUUCUUUUGUAGAGAUCGAGCCAGUCUUAGAAUAUGUCAUCUUCAAGUUAGGGGGCAUUCUUGAGAGUAAUUAUAGGAGGCUGCAAAGUCUGUUGGGAAAGGAGUAGCUGAACUGAUAUAGGGUAUAUACAUUCAGUAGCUACAAUAAUAUCUCUGAAGCAGAUGGAAAUCCCAGAUUGAACAUGGGAGAAGGAUCCAUAGAUGGAAAUCCAAACCGAACAUGGGAGAAGGGUCCCGAUGGCAUUUCUCUGGCAAAUUUCAUCAACUUGAUUUUACCAAACAACAUCACAAUUAUUUCUUUUGUUGAUAGCCCAACAAAUAUAGAUGUUGCUUUUGUUGUUCCUUCCUUCUGUUGCUCUUGACAUGUCCAUCUGAGUGUUUCAUACUAUAAUAUAUUCUUCUGUUUUCCUGGUUGUACAUAAAUAUUUUAUACUCCGUUUGUAAUUUCAUGUGCUUUAUCUUAAGAUCAA